GCGGGCGUGGUGGAAUUGGCAGACACCCCGGCUUUAGGUGCCGGUGCUCGAAAGAGCGUGGGGGUUCGAGUCCCUCCGCCCGCA
rnacentral:tRNA from 2 species